rnacentral:lncRNA from 1 species
UCUCACACACACACACUCUCACACACACACACACACUCUCUCUCACACACACACUCUCAUACACACACACUCUCACACACACUCUCAUACACACUCACACACACAUACACACAUACUCUCUCUCACACUCAUACACACACACACUCACACACACACACACUCACACACAUACACACACUCUCUCUCUCACACUCUCAUACACACACACACUCUCACACACACACACUCACACACACACUCAUACACUCACACACACACACACACACUCUCUCUCACACUCUCAUACACACUCACACACACAUACACACACACUCUCACACACACACUCACACACACACUCUCACACACACAUACACACACUCUCACACACACACUCACACACAUGCACACUCACUCUCUCACACACACUCAUACACACUCACACACACACUCACUCACACACACACAAACACUCACAUACACAUACACUCUCUCACACACACACUCACACACAUAUACACAUGCUCACAUAUACACAUGCUCUCACACACACACAUACAUGCUCACACACACACACACACACACACACACAGAGGAAUUCAUCCCACACUGCACACUAGGCAUCCAAGUGUGUAGCAAUGUGUGUGGCUGUUAGAUUUAUAAGAAGGUGAAGUUUUCAGUGAUUUAAGGGGAUGAAACAGCAGCUUUGUGAGGAGGUCCAGGGAAAGAACAUCCCUGCUCAGAGAUCAGGUAUGAGUUGGGAAUGCAUCCAGGAUAUUGUACGUCCAAAGAGGAGCUGGGAGACCACUACCCCUCAUAGACUGGGCACAGUAGGUCAAGGGGAGUAGACAUCAAGGCACCAUAAUGGGUUCCCUUGUGUAUGGUGACAUCAGACCAGACUCACUCUCCACCCAUGCCGGGAGAAAGGUAGCCACCUUAACCUUUUGCCAAUUGAAGAAUUAGAGGCCUGGUCAACUGCCCCUUCCUCUCUGGGCCCAAUAGCAGCUUUCAAACACAUGAAGCUUGGCUGCUUCCACCAAAAGGCCAACCCUGUGCCCUUGGCCUCAGCCACAUAUCCCCAGAUUACCCAACUUUCAGGAGCUAGUUAUGGUACCUGAUAAGUAGACUUUCCAAGACACUGGGGCCUUUAAAGGUCAGUGUGGGGCCAAUGAGAUGACCCUAAAGGCUUGCUACCCAACUUAAGAGUCUGAGCUUCAUCUUGGUGGUUAAGAACACUGGCUGCUCUGGAAAGACAACCCAAGUUAAAUUCCCAGCAUCCACAUAAAGACUUACAACCAUCUCUAACUCCAGUUCCAGGACAUCUGAUACUCUUCUGGCUUCCAUGGGCACUGCAUAUGUGACACACAGCCAAAAAGAUAAGUAAAAUGCAGCGGUGGCAACGGCGGCGGUGGCAGCAGUGGCCGCGGCAGCGGCGUUGGUGGUUGGCAGCAGCAGUUCUUUUUAAAGAACCUGAGUUUUAUCCCAGGACCCAUGUGGUAGAAUGAGAGAAUGGAUUCCCACAGUUUGUCCUUUCACCUCCACAUGUACAGAGUGAUCCUGUGCUACCAGAAGCAACUUAAAGAGAGAAGAGUUUAUUGGGCUCACAGUUCCCAGGGAUAUAGUCUGUCAUUCCAGGGAAGCUGUGGGGUAGGGGAUUGACAUGGUCUGUCAAUUGCACCCAUGGCCAGGAAAAAGAGAAGAAGGCUUUCUUUCUCUUUCUUGCUAAGUGUGGGACCCCAGCCCAUGAGAUGGCAUGGGCCACACUCAGGGGGUUCUUUUCCUUUCCAGUAAGCAUCGCCUGAAACACCCUAACACACCCCUGAAGAAAUCUGUUUCCACGCUCAUUCUAAGCCUGCUAACAAUGAAGAUGAACCUGUGGCCAUUUUGCAGACCGUGGCCCUGCUUUGCUCUCACAGUGGCGAACCUGAGCUCUCCCAGCACACAGAAUCCGCACGUGGGUAAAAGGAAUCUCCAACUGGGAGUUCUGAGUUCUGCCCCAGCAGUGCCCGCCUGAAACAUUUCUGAUGUACUCACACUUAUUGUUCCUGUUUGUGAAAUUGUAUUAAUACCCAAUAGCUAGGUUAUUGGGAUUGGAUUAAAAAUAUUAAUCUGAAUAUCCAUAGUACUUCUUAGGAUCUUGCCUAGAAUUCAGUAAGCAUUUAAGAGGUGUGUGUGUGUGUGUGUGUGUGUGUGUGUGUGUGUGUGAGAGAGAGAGAGAGAGAGAGAGAGAGAGAGAGAGAGAGAGAACUUAUGUGUGAGAGCUUAUGCGUGUAUAUAUGUGCAUAUGUGUGUGUGAGCUUGUGUAUGUGUGUGUAGGUGUGUGUGUGAGCUUAUGUGUGUAUAUGUGUGUGUGAGCUUGUGUGUUUAUGUGUGUAUAUAAGCUUGUGUAUGUGUGUGUGUAUAUGAACUUGUGUGUGUAUGUGUGUAUAUAUGUAUAUGAGCUUGUAUAUGUGUGUUUAUGUGUGACCUUGUGUGUGUGUGUGUGUGUGUGUGAGCUUGUGUGUAUGGAGCAACUUUGGGGUGGAGGGAGUAUGGUAGAGCAGGUGUGAAGUGACAGGUCCCAGAAACCCUCUUCAUGCAGCAGCUAUGACCUCUGAGUGUCUGCAGACACAGUUCUCCCUACCACCUCCAGACAUACUGUGACAAUACCACAGGGCCCUUAAGGUCAAGCCAGAGGAGUGAACUUUACCAGAGGCCACUACAGGUUAUUUCUGCUCCCUCCCCUGUGUAUGUGUAAAUGUGUGUGUUAUAUUCAGUAUGUGGUGUAUGCACAGAUACAUGUGUGUGUAUGUGUGUGUACACAUGCAUGUGUGUGUGUGUCCAUGUGGAGCCCAGAGGUUAUCACUGAGUGUCUUUCUUUGGUAUCUUGCCAUCUUUAUUUGGGGUGGGGACAGGGUCUUACUGAACUUCAAGCCACUGACUUGCUUAGCCUGACAGGCCUCUGAGCUUCAGGGAUCUGUGCGGCUCCGGUCUCCAUCCCUCAGCACUGGCUGCCAUGUCAGGUUUUCCCCAGGGGGUCUGGACAGCCACACUCAGAGCUUCUUGCCUGCAUGGCAGACACUUUUCCGAGCUAUCUUUCCAAUCCAUUAUUUCCUUUCUUACCCAACCUUGGUUUCCUAAGAUUCUGAAACCCCACCAUCCUCAGGCCACCUCAGGGACAACAGACAGAAGCUCCUGUUACAGUGUCAUUCCCCGUUCAGGCUGUGUGUCUUCCUGGAGUCUGCCUAGUCUAUGGCCAGAGCUGGAAGCAACAGACACCCCUCCCCAACAGCUCUAUAAGGUGGAGACCAGAAGAGGUGCCUGCAGGGUUGGCGUUUGAUGAGGCCUCCUCUGAGGGCCAUGUUUUGGGCUGGAAGAGGAUAGCCUUCUAGAAUCUUCUCAUAGGCACUGUCCCAUUAGUGAGGGCUCAAUCUUCAUGGAUGAAUUGUUUCCCAAAGGCACCAUCAAUAAACACGGCUGUUGGGUCAGAUUUCCACAUAUGAAUUUGGAGGCAGGGCAAGCAUUCAGUGUAUAGAUGGGAGAACAGGUCUUACCUUUUGGCCUCUUCCUGGGAUACUUAGUGCAUUAGACAGAUAGUGCUAGUCUAUUAAGUCUCAGUGGCUCUCCACAUGUAGUUGACAUGGUACCUUAGAGACACUGUUUAAAUUCAAAUAUGCUAUUUCCAAAAUGCCCCAUCUUCAGGGAAUUCUGAUUACUUAUCCUUCCAUACCAUCUAGACAGAGGUGCUAAUGCAGGAAGCUCCAGGCGACUUGCUGACUAGGUGAUUAUGUCAUCUCCGCAUGGAUGGAAGCUGCUUUUCACAUAGUCUGUGCAUGUCCAGGCAGAUGAAACCAUCGAGGCUAAGGGCUGGACCACAGAACUCUGCCUCCUUAAGCCUUGUGUUCAGCACAGGGCAUCCCUCUACUCUGUUUGGAUAUUCCAGUAAAUUCUCAUGCAAAUUCUGUGUCCGCCAGCUACUUGGAUCAGCUGUGCAAGCCUUGUGCUCACCAGUCUGUCUCUUCCUGGUGCGUUAGAAUGAUGGUGGGGUCAAAGAUGCACAGUGGAGCAUUGUGGGUUCUCAGCUUUGAGAGCAGUCAGCCCCUAUCUGUAAUUGGUUCCAGGGAGACAGGAGACAGAUACUGCUGGUUUGAGUCUCACUCUAGCUGGGUGACCAUAAGCAAAUUGCUUCUCAGUAUUUAUGCGGCUCUGUAAAGAGAUGCAUAACUCCUUUGAGAAUAGUUGCUGGGAUUACUUGACACGUCAGAACUACUGAUACUGGAGUGUCUUCCUGCCCGAGUUUAUUGGUCAUGAACGUGAUAGGAAGAGACAAGGUAAAGGGGAGGGGGGAGGGGAGGAAGGUUUCAUUAGCAUAAUGGAGUGCUUCCCCUUUCUGUGGCAAUGCUCCCUGCUCACCCCCUGAAGUACCACAGCCCCAGCUUCCUGUUCUCCCUGGUGGUAAUUGGCCCUUAGCCACCACUUGCACCCCUCACCUGACUGUUGCAAACCACGUUUCCUCGAUAUCUCUCCAUCUAGUCAGUUCUCACCUGCACAUUUUUUUUUCUGGGUCAGAGGCUCAUGCAGGAGUGGGUCGCUAUCUGUCUAUCAGGAGGUGGCUUUGCUCUGCAUGAGGUCAUUCAGCAAGGCUUCAAGAACCUUGGUAGGCUCCCUAGUAACAGACACCAAGGUCUGAAGGCCACCCUGUCUUCUUCGCUUUUUAUAUGGAGAGCUCCCAAGUGACAGCUCUGCUGCGGACAUCUUAGUUCUUCAGGGCUGUCACCCAGUCUUAACUAUGCUGGCACUGGCUAGUGUCCCUUGUACCCUUGGAGAUCAAGGGCAUGAAGCAGGUCCUCUGAGGGAGCAGGGAGGUCAAGGCUGCCCUGUAACCUUGGGCACCAGUUGCUACAAACGCUGUUCAUGUUUCUAGUAUGGAAAGAAUUGUGCUAACUGCCAUUAUCUGCCCCUGUUGCUUGCUCUGUGCUGAGGGAAGGUCUGAGCCAGUAACAAGUGCACAUUCAUUGAAUUGAUGGAGUAAAAUUUUAAACUAACACAUUCCUGCCUCACAGAGAAACAGUAUCUUCUGCUAUUGCUGUUUCGAGACAGGGUUUCACUAUGUAGCCCUGACUGGCCUGGAACUCUCUAAGUAGACCAGACCAACCUCAGACUUACUGAGAUCCUCCUGUCUCUGCCUUCUGAGUGCAGGGAUUUAGGGUUUGGGCCUGAUGUCCAGCUUAGUAAUUAUUUCUUAUUGCUGACCGACCAUUUCCAGGCUGGGUGCAGUAAUGAGGAAUUUACACAGGGAGGGGAUUCCUUCAACUGCCUCUCUCAAACCUGUGAGAAUCAGUAUCCUCUUUAUAUAAGAAAUAUUUUGGUAUGAUACUUUACUAGUAUAGCGAGAUAUAAGGUACAAUAUGCAAAACAUAUGAAACUGAGGAAGAACGAAGACCAAAGUGUGGACACUUUGCUCCUUCUAGAAUUGGAAACAAUCACCCAUGGAAGGAGUUACAGAAACAAAGUUUGGAGCUGAGACAAAAGGAUGGUCCAUCUAGAGACUGCCAUAUCCAGGGAUCCAUCCCAUAAUUAGCCUCCAAACGAUGACACCAUUGCAUACACUAGCAAGCCUUUGUUGCAAGGACAGUGAUAUAGCUGUCCCUUGUGAGACUAGGCCGGGGCCUAGCAAACACAUAAGUGGAUGCUCACAGUCAACUAUUGGAAGGAUCACAGGGCCCCCAAUGGAGGAGCUAGAGAAAGUAUCCAAGGAGCUAAAGAGAUCUGCAACCCUAUCGGUGGAACAACAUUAUGAACUAACCAGUA